rnacentral:tRNA from 1 species
CUAAGUGUAGCGUAGUCCGGUAUCGCGCCUGCUUUGGGAGCAGGAGAUCGCAGGUUCAAAUCCUGCCACUUAGACCA